rnacentral:rRNA from 1 species
GUGCCAGCAGCCGCGGUAAGACGUAGGGCGCGAGCGUUGUCCGGAUUUAUUGGGCGUAAAGAGCUCGUAGGCGGCUUGUCGCGUCGACCGUGAAAACUUGGGGCUCAACCCCAAGCCUGCGGUCGAUACGGGCAGGCUAGAGUUCGGUAGGGGAGACUGGAAUUCCUGGUGUAGCGGUGAAAUGCGCAGAUAUCAGGAGGAACACCGGUGGCGAAGGCGGGUCUCUGGGCCGAUACUGACGCUGAGGAGCGAAAGCGUGGGGAGCGAACAGGAUUAGAUACCCGGGUAGUCC